GCUUUUCGAUUUGAGGUUACCAUGAGGCUUGCAAAUAACAUCUUAUAACCCAUUAUUUUAAAUGGAUGACAACUCUAAUUGCAAAACAAACAAGCAAGCAAAAAGAAAACUAAUGAAAGCUCUACAGUUUAACUUCAUCCUCCCCAGUUUUUAACUUUUUGUUGUUUAUGUUUAUAUCUUAUUAUACUGAAUAUGUCUUUAUAAUUUGUUGUAGCUAUCAUUUUUUGAUAGGUUUGUCUUUUAGACUUCCUAUUCAAGAUAUAAGUAAUUUAUAUAUUAUAAUUAAAG
rnacentral:lncRNA from 10 species